CUCCGACUUCAUGGGGUCGAGUUGCAGACCCCAAUCCGAACUGAGACCGGCUUUUUGGGAUUCGCUCCACCUUACGGUAUCGCAGCCCUCUGUACCGGCCAUUGUAGCAUGCGUGAAGCCCAAGACAUAAGGGGCAUGAUGAUUUGACGUCAUCCCCACCUUCCUCCGAGUUGACCCCGGCAGUCUCCCAUGAGUCCCCGGCAUAACCCGCUGGCAACAUAGGACGAGGGUUGCGCUCGUUGCGGGACUUAACCCAACAUCUCACGACACGAGCUGACGACAACCAUGCACCACCUGUGUACGAGUGUCCAAAGAGAACCCCGUCUCGGGGGCUUUCUCGUACAUGUCAAGCCUUGGUAAGGUUCUUCGCGUUGCAUCGAAUUAAUCCGCAUGCUCCGCCGCUUGUGCGGGUCCCCGUCAAUUCCUUUGAGUUUUAGCCUUGCGGCCGUACUCCCCAGGCGGGGCACUUAAUGCGUUAGCUGCGGCACGGAACUCGUGGAAUGAGCCCCACACCUAGUGCCCAACGUUUACGGCAUGGACUACCAGGGUAUCUAAUCCUGUUCACUCCCCAUGCUUUCGCUCCUCAGCGUCAGUUGCGGCCCAGAGACCUGCCUUCGCCAUCGGUGUUCCUCCUGAUAUCUGCGCAUUCCACCGCUACACCAGGAAUUCCAGUCUCCCCUACCGCACUCUAGUCUGCCCGUACCCGAUGCAAGCCCGAGGUUGAGCCUCGGGAUUUCACACCAGACGCGACAGACCGCCUACGAGCUCUUUACGCCCAAUAAUUCCGGACAACGCUUGCGCCCUACGUAUUACCGCGGCUGCUGGCACGUAGUUAGCCGGCGCUUCUUCUGCAGGUACCGUCACUUGCGCUUCUUCCCUGCUGAAAGAGGUUUACAACCCGAAGGCCGUCAUCCCUCACGCGGCGUCGCUGCAUCAGGCUUGCGCCCAUUGUGCAAUAUUCCCCACUGCUGCCUCCCGUAGGAGUCUGGGCCGUGUCUCAGUCCCAGUGUGGCCGGUCGCCCUCUCAGGCCGGCUACCCGUCGACGCCUUGGUAGGCCAUCACCCCACCAACAAGCUGAUAGGCCGCGAGCCCAUCCCCCACCGAAAAACUUUCCAACCCACACCAUGCGAUGCGAGCUCAUAUCCGGUAUUAGACCCCGUUUCCAAGGCUUAUCCCGAAGUGGAGGGCAGGUUGCUCACGUGUUACUCACCCGUUCGCCACUGAUCCACCCAGCAAGCUGGGCUUCAC
rnacentral:rRNA from 1 species